rnacentral:misc_RNA from 1 species
CCUGCAGAGCUUGCCCUCCCC